rnacentral:rRNA from 1 species
GUAUAGAACCUACCUUUUACUGGAGAAUAGCCCAGAGAAAUUUGGAUUAAUGCUCCAUAGCAUCAUUUUUUGGCAUCAUUAAAUGAUUAAAGAUUUAUCGGUAAAAGAUGGCUAUGCGUUCUAUUAGCUAGUUGGUAUGGUAACGGCAUACCAAGGCGACGAUAGAUAGGGGUCCUGAGAGGGAGAUCCCCCACACUGGUACUGAGACACGGACCAGACUCCUACGGGAGGCAGCAGUGAGGAAUAUUGGACAAUGGAGGCAACUCUGAUCCAGCCAUGCCGCGUGUAGGAAGACUGCCCUAUGGGUUGUAAACUACUUUUAUAGAGGAAGAAACCGCUCUACGUGUAGAGCUCUGACGGUACUCUACGAAUAAGGAUCGGCUAACUCCGUGCCAGCAGCCGCGGUAAUACGGAGGAUCCAAGCGUUAUCCGGAAUCAUUGGGUUUAAAGGGUCCGUAGCGGGUUUGUAAGUCAGUGGUGAAAGUUUUCGGCUCAACCGGAAAAUUGCCAUUGAUACUGCAAGUCUUGAAUCGUUGUGAAGUGGUUAGAAUGUGUAGUGUAGCGGUGAAAUGCAUAGAUAUUACACAGAAUACCGAUUGCGAAGCAGAUCACUAACAAUGUAUUGACGCUAAGGGACGAAAGCGUGGGUAGCGAACAGGAUUAGAUACCCUGGUAGUCCACGCCGUAAACGAUGGUUACUAGCUGUUCGGAUUUCGGUCUGAGUGGCUAAGCGAAAGUGAUAAGUAACCCACCUGGGGAGUACGUUCGCAAGAAUGAAACUCAAAGGAAUUGACGGGGGCCCGCACAA